GCUUGAGUCUUGUAGAGGGGGGUAGAAUUCCAGGUGUAGCGGUGAAAUGCGUAGAGAUCUGGAGGAAUACCGGUGGCGAAGGCGGCCCCCUGGACAAAGACUGACGCUCAGGUGCGAAAGCGUGGGGAGCAAACAGGAUUAGAUACCCUGGUAGUCCACGCCGUAAACGAUGUCUACUUGGAGGUUGUGCCCUUGAGGCGUGGCUUCCGGAGCUAACGCGUUAAGUAGACCGCCUGGGGAGUACGGCCGCAAGGUUAAAACUCAAAUGAAUUGACGGGGGCCCGCACAAGCGGUGGAGCAUGUGGUUUAAUUCGAUGCAACGCGAAGAACC
rnacentral:rRNA from 2 species